UUUUUUCUUUCUUUCGUCUCUCUUUAGAAUUUAGAUUAUGUGAACUGAGGAAAGAGGAGAGAGGUAUGGUGGUCUUUUAUACAAGCAAAACAACUAAAUCAA
rnacentral:sRNA from 1 species